rnacentral:rRNA from 1 species
AGUGAACGCUGGCGGUAGGCCUAACACAUGCAAGUCGAACGGCAGCACAGUAAGAGCUUGCUCUUACGGGUGGCGAGUGGCGGACGGGUGAGGAAUACAUCGGAAUCUACUUUUUCGUGGGGGAUAACGUAGGGAAACUUACGCUAAUACCGCAUACGACCUACGGGUGAAAGCAGGGGAUCUUCGGACCUUGCGCGAUUGAAUGAGCCGAUGUCGGGUUGGCUAGUUGGGGGGGUAAAGGCCAAGCAAGGCGAGGAUCCGUAGCCGGUGGGAGAGGAGGGUAGGCCACCUUGGAACGGGAACAGGGUCCAGACUCCUACGGGAGGCACCAGUGGGGAAUAGUGGACAAUGGGGGCAAGCCUUAUCCAGCCAGCCCGCGUGGGUGAAGGAGGCCUUCGGGUUGUGAAGCCGUUUUGUUGGGAAAGAACAGCAGCAGGUUGAGACGACGCGGUUCUGACGGUACCCAAAGAAUAAGCAUCGGCUAACUUCGUG